UUUUAUUUUAAUGUUUUUAUUUUUUUAUAUUUUUUUUAUAUAUUUAUUUUUUUAUUUCUUUUUUUAAUCUUAUGCGUUAAUAUCUAGCAUAUUGUAUUUAUAAAUAUUUAAUGAUUAUUUUUUAAGUGACGCUGUUUUAUUAUUUUUUUUUUUUUUUCAAUUUAACAGCUGGUGUUUUUGAUGAUAACUGGUAUUUCUCAUGAAUAUCGGAUUGAGUCAGCGAAUGUUCGAGACUGCUACGAAAGCGAGUUUAACGUUAAAUUAAUUGAUUUCUGCUCACUUAGAACUAUAUUACGCCAAUAUUGGUGGUGGUGUUUUUAGGAAUUCGCAAUAUAAUUUAUACAAAAAAACUGAUAUUUGACGAAGCAAAAGCUGUUUGUGUUUCAUAAAUAUGAAAUUGCCAAUGUCAUUCUGGCUUUUUUAAUGUGCUCAGCCAAUACCAAGAGACAUUUUUGCUAAACUUUAACCGGUUGCGCUUAAGCGAAAUAAGACUGUUUAGAAGUAUGUAUGCACCAAUAUAAAUAUGGGCAUUUGUAAAAUAUUGGUUAGGAAUGAGUUGAAAUAUUUGGGAUGACUUGGAAUUUUUGGCGACUUGUUUCAAAACAUGCAAAUAUUUUAUUUAAUAUUUUUAAUUCCAAACAAAAACAAAAUUUUGAAAGCUU